UCUCGGGAGGCUGACGUGGCGCUUUCCUGAUCUCCCCUUCUAUUUUUCCUCAAUUUCUAAAGUUCACAUUUUAUUGUUUGGUUUCUCUAAAUCUUGGAAUUCCAGAAUUUGUAAAGUCUCAUUAUUAAUUAUUGAGAUUUACUUUAUCGGUUGGGUAUUGUGAGGAUCUCAGGAGUUUCACAUCUCUUCAUCUCUGCUUUACUACGAUUUUACAACUCCCUCCCUCCUCUCCUCUCUCAAUUUCACUUGUCUGAUUAUGAUGAUGGCUGUGUAAGUUUCUUGGUAGAUAAAGAAAACCCGGUAUUUAUUUGUCGUCCUCGCAGCAGAAUUUACAAGGGGAUGGAAUGGAUCAUGAUGAGGAAACCUCCGGUAUCCAAUAACAUCUUCGAGACCACAUGGAUUUUUCUCAGUAUGUUGCAGCAAAUUCCCCAGGCCUGAAAGAUCUUCAGGAGGAACCAAAUAAAUCACGAAACAGCUUCUCUGCUUUAAAAGCUCUAUGCUCUGUGAUGUUUUCAGUGUUGAGGUUAUAAAGAUUGAUUGGUCAAACAGCUGUUGGUUUGAGCAAGUAGCAGAAGAUACUGAUGGGUGCAGAAGGUGAAGUGAAGUGUGAAGAGGAAUGUCCUGGAAUAUGCGGCUUUGCUACAGCCCUCGCUCUUCACAGGUACAUUCAACUUUAUGCUUGUGUAUAUGCUUGUAAUUAAACACAUGAUCGCUUGCAAUUCAUUUGGAAAUUAUUGCUUUUAUCUCUGCACAUGCUAUCAAUUUUCAAAUUGCUUAAUUACCUUGAAAUUUAGACAUGAAAAACGCUAGAGUUUGGGAAGCUGGACUUAGGGUACCACAUGCAGUUAUAGUGGAUACACAUCCAUAUUCGUGGCACACUUGUAGGCUAUAUCAAACAUGUUUGCAAAGAUAACAUGCGGCUACCCUGAAACUCCCUGCAUCUGUCCCUUCUCCAGCUCAGGAUGUCGAACAACUCCACAAAGCCUUUUCCGGUUCGUUUUCAACUCUUCUCCUUUUCCUUUCUUGUGUAUUUUUUUUUUCAUUAUAACAUGCUUCUGCUACCUAUUUACUCAAAUAUGUGAUCGUUAAUUUACGAUGUAUUUUGCCAAAAUGAAAUUGUGGUUUCAUUUGAUUUCUUGAUUAUCAUGUCUGCUUUAAUUUAUUAGCAAUGCCAGGCACAUGAAGCGAUGUUUUUAGAGAUAUAUUAUGCACUAUCCAUGUGUUCUCAGUCAGCUUUGCAUAUUUGAGAUGUUUAAAAUACAAAUAAUACUGAAAGAACAAACCAACAAUCUAUGCUUCCUAUGAUUGGAUUUUUGUUUCUGUGAUUUUUAAGUUUAAUGAAUACAUAUAUUUUAAAGCUUUAACUCAUUUUGUAAUGGUUCAUGUUAGAAUAUAAAAUUAUCGUGGUAAGCCUUUCUACAAAUAUUUUGACAGAAUUGGUUACUUAAAAUCAUAUGAGAUUUCAGGCUCAACUUGCCCUAGCCCUGUUAUCAUUUAUGUAAUGUUGCAGUGUUGUAUAAUUGCAACAAGUCUUACUACUGCUGUAUUUCCACGUGAUGACUGUGUGAGCAUAGGGAGUGGCGUAAUAUUGUUGCUGGCACAUGUCGCCAGAUGUACAUUUCAAUUCUACUCGCUGUCCUGCGAACAGCAUACACUCCCAGAACAAGCACUCAAAUAUGAAGAUGUUUAUAUGAGCAUUAGUGGUGUGUAGAUUUUGGGUGUGCACAACAUUUAACAAUUUGUUAUGAAGAAAAAGGUUAACAUUUGAAUUAGUUUGAGCCUGUAAUUUAUUUUGCCUUUUAUUACAUUUCAAUUCUAUAUGUAAUUAUAUGUAGCUUGGAUUUAUACAGAA